AAUCAUUAACCAAUUAUAAGCAACCCCAUUCAAAUGAAAACAAAGAUUUAUAAACAAUAUGGGGAUUUGGACGUCUGUCAUUACAAACUGCUUCGUGCUUUAUUCAACAACCAAUAAGAGGCAGAUUUCAGAAUGACAUCUCCCAUCACUGCCGUGUAUUCUAUAGGAUUGCUGUUGAUUCAGAGUUUCCACACGCUGAGCCUCAGUAGCCUCACGUGUGGCUUAGUAGAUCCCAUGGAGAAUAGUGCAGGAGCAUAUACAGAAUGUUCCAGGGGGUUUGGCCACGACUGGCAUCGUCACCCAGCUCCCAUCUAUCCAUCUUUCAACGGAUUCCUGGUGUCCCUUCUCAACAUUCAUGGACUAACAGCAAAGCAGAUGGCCAAAACAUAGCCUGAAUCCCCUGCCUGCUGCUCUCAUUCCUACCUGAGUGCCCAGGAACACAAGGCCGCAGAAGACUCAUCUUCACUCUCUGUGGGCCCAGCCAUCUACCCAGUUCCAGGAGAGCCAACCAUCUCACUGGUAGGACUUGGCAAGAUGGCUCAUUGGUAAAGGAGCUUGCCACCAAACCUGCCAAGCCGAGUUCAGUCUCCAGAACCCACAAGAGACAGAGAGAACCAAACCCCCAAAAGUUGCCCUCUGACCUCCACACACAAGCAGUGGCACACACCUGCCCGAAUACCCCGACCACUACAUGCAUAAUUCACACGUAUUUUUUGUUUUUGAGCCCUUCCUAGGUGUUUAGUUCUGUCCUUCUGUGCAAAUAAACACACAGAACCUUCACUGGCAUUUCAUUGCAGAACAAGUCUGUGUCCUUGGUAUCCUGCUUGGGAGACAGACACAGAUCAAAUCACACAGUGUGUGAGUUCAGUCUGUGAUGAGGGCUAGAAGGAAAAGCACAUUUAAAAAAAUGCUGAGCCCUGAAAAGCUAAAGUUGAAAAAGAAAAGAACAGAAAAUCUUCUGGGCCACGGCAGUACAUAAUGUAGAAUCCCAAACAUGUUGGCCGCCAACUCAUGACCAUCUUCCCGCUCCGGCUUCCCCUAGAACGGGGGUUCUAAGCUUGUACCACCGUGCCCAGCUCCUGCGUCCGUUCUGCCCACGAACCCAGUGAGGUGGAUGGCGACAUCUCUCUGGACAUUUCAGACAAACAAAUCCAGCAAUCUCUUUGGGCUAGACAGACGACGCUGCCAACUGGGCACACUUUCCCGAGAAGAUAACAAUUUAAAAGAGGAAAAAUCAAUGCUAAUAGAACUCUUUUUCAGGUUUGGAAAAUGACAUUGUCCACAGCAGCUGAUGCUGAGAGAGCCCUGCGGCUGGGCAGGAGGCAUGAGCUCUGGGUGGACGCAAUCUUCCCAGGCUGGGCCCUAAAUUGAGAUCAUUCAGCUUCUCCAGUGCUGGCAUCACAGGAACCUACCACACUGGGCUCCAGGCUUCAUUUUAUUCUUUAAUCCUAUAAGGCACCGAGGUACAGAACACACAGAAGUCGUUGUCUCCACUGAAAGUCCUCCCCCCUUCCCUCCCUCCUUCUGUCCCUCCCUCCCCCUUCUCCCUCCCCUCCUUCCUUCUUUCCAGUGCUAAGAACUGGAGCACAUCACAUUGAAGCAACGUCCCCAGCUCCUCGAUGGUAAAUUCUAGGCAAGUACCUUAUCACCAAGUCACACCCCACGCCCUCAUUGGUGGAUUAUAUUC